rnacentral:lncRNA from 1 species
AUGAGUCAUAUCAUUCUUAACUUGGACGGAAAUGAAAUUUGUUACAACGUUGCACUUAGUCUUUCAUAUUUGUUGUCAGUAAUUUAAAAUACAUUUUGAAACACAUAUGGAACAAUAAUAAUUUUUUAAAAUAACACAAAAAUGAAAAGGGAACUCUGGUACAUUUAUCGAGAGCCACAAAUAAUCCUUCAAAGAGCCGCAUGUGGCUCGCGAGCCACAGUUUGGCCACCAUGGAUAUAUAAUGUUAUGCCCAAACGCCGAAAUCGUACAAUGACUGAAGGAAUAGCCACAACGCAUUGUGGCCGGUUUCAAAUGACCAGGCAUCAAUGCUCAACAUUAUUUUGCUUCAUUGCCAUUGUGAGGUAACCACGAUGCAUUGUGAACAACUCCACCAAAAC